GGAUUAGAUACCCUGGUAGUCCACGCCGUAAACGGUGGGCGCUAGUUGUGCGAACCUUCCACGGUUUGUGCGACGCAGCUAACGCAUUAAGCGCCCCGCCUGGGGAGUACGAUCGCAAGAUUAAAACUCAAAGGAAUUGACGGGGCCCCGCACAAGCAGCGGAGCAUGCGGCUUAAUUCGACGCAACGCGAAGAACCUUACCAAGGCUUGACAUAUACAGGAAUAUGGCAGAGAUGUCAUAGCCGCAAGGUCUGUAUACAGGUGGUGCAUGGUUGUCGUCAGCUCGUGCC
rnacentral:rRNA from 1 species